rnacentral:tRNA from 1 species
UGGCUCACUAGGUAGAGCAUGGUGUUUGCAACGCCAGGGUUGUGGGUUCGAUUCCCAC